UAGGCAAAGCCUGAAGAUCAUAAUCACAUAUAAACCUGUCUUGGGAAAGCAGCGCUAAUCCCCCUGGUCACAAAGCCUACAAGAAAUUCUAUUCUUAAUAGGUCUCGUGAAGCUAACUUAAAGUCUUAGUGGGUGCACUUAACUACUAUGAUUUAUCACGCCGGGUUUUCAAAAAUUUAAUGAAUAAUAAUUGAAAACUAAAAUUCUUGAGUUAAGGACACCAACAAUAUCCUUACUCGAUUUUCUUAAAUAAUUGGAAUUAUAAAUAAAACCAAUUAAAUCAUAAAUACUUUUAUUGCAAAAUAUAAUGCAAUAUCAUGUCAUGCUUAGCAUAUAAUAAGUAAUUUACUUAAAAUAUGCACAUAAUAAUAAUUUAAUAUUAUUAUGCAAAUCAUUCUUUAAAUAAAUUAAUUAAACUAAUUAUAAAGUCUAAUUAAUAUAAGAAGGCAGCCCAUUUUAACAAAACUGUAUAGAUUCAACUUCAACCAAUAAACUGCUUUUACUCCGAACUCGUAUGGAGUCGAAUUUUAUAUCAAUAGAAACCUCUUUGAGUCUAGUUUAAUUGAAAAAAAAAUAUGUUGAAAAACUCCAAGUAGUUUAAGAGAUAUAGCGAUUUUCCCAUCGCCUACCAGAUUCGGCAGUUUCUGCCAACUGAAAGUCCAGAUUUUUGAAAAAUAGCAAACGUUAUCGGAAUGACCUCAAAUUUUAUAUGCAGAUAGCUAACACAUAUAUCUUUAUACAAUAAAAAUUUGAGAGUUAAAUAUCAUCAUAUGGUUACUGAAAUAAUUAACCUAAUCAUCUGUCUCACGACAGUUUCAGCAGAUACGGGCAGUAGACUUCUCGAAUUUUAAAAGGGUAGUAAACGAAGUUCAAAUGACAUGAAACUUUGUACGAAUAUUCACCACACUCCCAUCUAUACUCUAGAAAUUUCCCAUAAUAUAAUAGAAACGGGAAUGCACUGAAACAAGGGCGUUAACUUACCCCUGUCCAAGUGAGCACUAAUGGAAGUUGUUCGCCGGGGGUUUUUCUGGUCGUCGUUCCGCGAUGGUGUUUAGCCGCGAAGGUCUACGACUUAGUUUUCCUCGUGCGAGGUAAAUCAGGCUACACAACGGUGGUUUCUCGAUCCUUUUCGUCGUAAGGAUAGUGAGAAACGAAGGCCGUAAGUUGGCCGGUUGCUAAGUCGGGAAUUCGACGUUGGCCGCCGAAGGAUAUUGCGGCCUUUGGUCAGGAAAAUACAGAGAAGGCUUCGACCUUUCGAUUGUUGGGUUUGGUAGCCUGAAGAUGGAGGAACGAGUACACGUUCUCGGUUCAGAGCCUAGUGGCCGGUCGGCGAAUAAACGGCCCGGCGAAGGGAGCUCACUUGAGCUUAAAAGUAUGCAAAGUUGUGAUUUAAAGCUUGUUGGCUUCACUUUCUCUGCACGGGUGUGGUUCUUGCUAGAGUGGAGUGAGCUGUGUGUUAACUGAUAUGCUAUGUAUGGUGAUCUUGUUUCUGUUGGAAUUUCGUUGCUGGGGUGAGGAAUUAGAUAAAUAAGGGAGAUAUUUAAGGGAGUAGGAUGAACAUACUUGCCGCAGUAGAAGACAUGGUAGGAAGCGUGGGUGAAGGAGUCAAAAGAGUGGGCGCGCAUGGUGGUGAGAUGCGCUGAUAACUGUGAGUCAAAAGAGUGGGCGCGCAUGGUGAGUGUGAGACGUGAAAAUUGAAAAAAAAUAACCAAAAUCCCUUAAUCAUAGGGAUUUUGGAUGACUUGCAGGAGUGGACGCAUGGGGGUGAAUAGUGUAGCAAUUGUAGAGGCAUGGUGAAAUACAAGCAGCAGCAUGCGUGCUGUACUUGGCUGUGGUGCAAAGGAGGAGGUUGGUUUGGGCUUUGGUAUUUAUAGAAUAUCAUUUCAAUAAAAACUAAGGCCCAAAUAAAUAUUUGUCAAAGCCCAACACAUUUAAAUAAUUAAAGCCUAACAUAGACUUAAAUUAAAUCAUGCACAAAUAAAUACUAAUCAUAUAGAAUAAUCACAUAUUCAUAUAAUUCGAUUUAUGAAAUGCACAAAAUUUCAAAAGACUAAAUUUUUAUAAAGGCUUCUGAAAAGAAAUUUUGUUGGAAUUUAAAAUAUAAAUCAUUUUUCAUUUUUCCGGCGUAAAUCAUCCUAAUCUAAGUUUAAAAUAAAUUCUAAACUUAAUAUAAAUAGGCGGGGUGUUACAUUCCUCCCUCCUUAUAAAAAUUUCGUCCUCGAAAUUGCAUACUUGGGAAAUCUAGUUUGGAGUACUAGACAUUCACUAUCAGUGCACCUACAUAGCUUGAUGCUUAUCACAUUUUCUAAUCGUGAGAAUGCUACGUCUCAUGUCUCGAGAACUGUUGACAAACGAACUCAUUCUAAUAAUAUUGUGCUUAUUGUGAUGGAAGAAAAAUCUUAUUGUGGCAACUACAUAGUGAGAGUCUAUACAUUGGAAUGACGCUCUACUCAAGGUCAAAAAUCUUAAUUGACAAUCACCGAGAUCUUAGUCAUGUGGGCUGGCCAGACCCAGCACAACGAAUUACUCAGUCAAAUGGGAGCUUCGCCCCCAAUCAUGUCAACUUCUUAUCUCUUAUAAAGCUCUAAGUCAACUUCUAACUUAAAGCACUUACUUCUAAGUACUUCAAUCAUAAAUCUUUGGUAUCAUAUAGGUCCAUUCUAUGUCGUUCUAGCGGUGCUAUCACGACUAACAUUCGUAAGGCAUUCUUGGGUGGUUCUCAAACGGUUUGUAAAAGAACUCAUCAUUCUAAUCAUAUAGGCAGUGAACCUAAAAUGAUAACAUAAAGCUUUCUCAUCAUUCAUUCAUACAUACAUACAUACAUACAUAUAUUUGCUUUCUUUGAAAUUUUGAGUCAUAUGGACAUUAAAUGUCCCUUUCAUGAAAAACUUUGCUUAUGCCGGAAAGAUUCAAGGAAUCUAACUCGACCAUACAUACAUUGAUUCCUUAAGGGCUCGGGCAGUCCCAAACAUGAAAUAACAUUCAUUUAGUCGUUAUGGGUUCGAAUAGUCCCAAACACGACAAAUAAUCAUUCACAUAGCAUCAUAAACGUAAGGCGCACAUUUUCUUGAAAACUUUCAUAACUUCUGAAAUACAUAUAUGUAUAUUUUUGAAACUAUUAUCGUACCUUAGUUGCGGCAGUGUGAUGGCGAGCUGAGGGUUACUGACAUUCUUAGAAGUCUAGAGAUACUAUUCUAGACUCGACAUCAAUAACUUAUGGUUAUCAGAACAUGAAAGAAACUAUGCUCUGAUACCAUUCUGUCACACCCCAAUUCUUGAAUGAAUAAAUAUAAUCGAGGUGCAACUAUUCAUAGAAAUAAACAAGGAACAACCUUGUAAAACCCAAAUAGGAUAGAAAGUCGGGCUAUGCCCCUUUGGAUCACAAGUUUUGUUUCAUGCUUCUGACAACCAACAUUCAUUGGCAUAAAUUUAGUAGUGAAGAGUCUAAGCUCGGUCAUAUAUCAUUUGAAAUUUAACAUGAAGAUCUUAAGUUGAAAAAAAAGACUGAUAUGAGUAAUUGCUACAGCGAAGUCUACAUAGGAAUUUACUCUAGCCUCAGCUCCGUCCCGUCAGCACCGGCCAGCCAACCUGAAAACAUUUGAAAGUAUUUUUGGGCUAAGUACUAAUGUACUUAGUGGGCAUGCAUUUUCUAAACAUUUCAUAUUUUCGUAAAGACAGUUUAUCCAAUAUACUUGACAUGACUUAGAAGGUUUUAAAUUGAAAAACUUCUAAGCAUUUAAAAUAUUUUUAUUUGUGCGCACAUGUCACACUCCCUUUCGUUACUCGCUGUGAUCCCGGACCUUUUAGCCACCGACGGAUCCAUUUCUCCCUGCACUUGCUGAGGCGUAACCCAGCAAGUUAAUCGGGACCAAUCCGGACUCUUAUCAUGCUCCGGAACACAUCCAGUCGAGCACCCUUAUAACGCCUCUGAGUUAGUGCCCGAUGGAGAUCAACCCACCAGGUCAGCUAACAAGUGUACACAAUUCUCAGACAACGUGUUAGGUCAUAAGAGAACCUCAAUUGAUUCAUUGUUGCGAGCCUUAAACAGAGCAGAGUGCACAUAAACAUUUUAUUGGAUAAACAGUUUGCAUUUCAUUAAAUAAACAGUUUGCAUUUCAUUGAAACAUUUAGAGCUUAAUAACUCAAUCAUACUUUAUACAUUUGGAAAGUAAGCCCACCUGGAUAGGCAAGCCUGAAGAUCAUAAUCACAUAAACCCAUCUUGGGAAAGCAGUGAUAAUCCCCUUGGUCCACAAAGCCUACAAGAAAUUCUAUCCUUAAUAGGUCUCAUGAAACUAAUCUUAAGUCAUGGUGUAGUGCUUAAUAUUCUAUGAUUCACUUAGCCGGGUUUUCAAAAUUUAAUGAAUAAAAUAAUUGAAAACAUUUCUCUUGAGUUAAGAACACCAACAAUAUCCUUAGUCAUCUUUCUUUUGUAAUUGGAAUUAUAAAUAAAACCAAUUAAAUCAUAAAUUCUCUUAUUGCAAAAUAUAAUGCAAUUUCAUGUCUUGCUUAACAUAUAAUUAAGUAAUUUACUUAAAAUAUGCACAUAAUAAUAAUUUAAUAUUAUUAUGAAAACUAGUUUUUGAAAAUAAUUAAUUAAACUAAUUAAUAGUACAAUUAAUUAAAAUAGAGCAGCCCAAUUAAUUUAAUUAAUCAAGACAUCCCAAAGUUUUAAAAUAAAACUGACCCAAUUAGGAUUUAAAAUAAGGCCCAGCUGAAUUAAACUAAUCAGCCCAACUGAUAAAUAAAAUAAAGGCCCAACUGUUUAAUAAAAUAAAAACCGGCCCAACCACUUAAAAAAAAUGCAGAAGCCCAUAUUUGAAUUAAAUUAGCCCAAGACAUAUAAAAUAAACAUAGCCCAAAGAGAUUAAAACAAAAGCCCAACUGAUUCGGCCCAAACCUAAGCCCAACACUCCAUUAAAAUCGGCCCAAGUCAAACCCACCCUCAAGCCCAAACCUAGCCCAACACACUUUUCUCCCUUAUUUCUCCCCCUCACAAACACACGCACACACUCACACAUCUCUCAAGCGGCGCCCCCAUCCCAUCUCACUCUCUCUAUCUCUUCACGCCAAACUCAACUGUAGCAGCAGCGCACGCAGCCUUCCUCCGGCGAAGAGCCGGCGACUGGACCUCUCCCUAUCCCCCAUCUUCUUCUCCCUCGUUUUCCCUCUACCAGCACAACCCGACGGCCGCAGCAGCUGGAACCAGCCACCGCCUCUGUCUCCCUCUCGGAUUCAGGCUCGCCGAGCCCUUGCUCAACUCUGGCCGACGGCAGUAGCUUCAUGCCGCCACCAUCGCCGCCCUCUUAUCUCCCUUCUCCUCUAGUUCCGGCCGCCGCCUGAAACUCUAGGCUAAGCCUCCUGUUCUCUCUCUCUCGACUGCUCGAAAGUCCCGCCGCCGCGGAAGCUCGCCGGGGAGCAGCGGCGAUAAGCCGCCGUCACCCACUGCUCUCCCCUCUCUCCAUCCGUGGCUGGAGGAUAACGGCAGAGCCGCCAUGCCCUAGCCCCCUCCUCUCUGACUUCCGCCAACGAGCAGCGGAAGCCGCUCUCUUCCCCGACUCCGGCGAGUAGCAGCGAUAAGCUGCCGCUCUACUGUUCUCCGCUCAGACCCUCACAGCACACGCCCACACACAGACGCCCCCCCCCUUUGCGCCGUCUCCUCCCUUGGCAGCGGCGAAGUCGCCGCCGCCUCCCUCGAUCCCUUUCAGACUCGACACACGACAACGACUCAAGCACAAACAAGUUCAAGACUCCGACUUUUCUCUUUUCUUCUUUUCUAUACAUGUUUUGAAUGUAAAUAUAUAUGACAGUGUAUGAAUAUGCACCGAAAUGAUGAGAUGAAAGUAUGUGUGUGAUUCUUGCUUGCAGUGAAGAUCUUUAUACAAAAUGAAGUGGGUUUCUUAAUCAAACUGUGAAAUGAAAAUAAGCAAGAAUUAAAAGAUGAAACCUUUGAAUGUUUAGUGGGGAAAGUCCUCAAGCUGAAAGCUUCGUGUGAUCUUCAAGAGUUUUUGAUUUGAGUUUGCUGAAAUUUAAGGUGUGUUGUUGCUGGAUUGGUGAGGGGAAUGGUUGCUCUCUGUUUCAGUUUUCCUUCACGAAAUGAGUGGUGAAGGAAAAGUCUUGAUUGAAUUGGGAGAAGUUGAAUUGGCAGAGAAAUUUGGGGCAUUUGAUUGCCUC
rnacentral:lncRNA from 1 species